GAUGAACGCUGGCGGCGUGCCUAAUACAUGCAAGUCGAGCGAACGGACGCGAAGCUUGCUUCUCUGAUGUUAGCGGCGGACGGGUGAGUAACACGUGGAUAACCUACCUAUAAGACUGGGAUAACUUCGGGAAACCGUAGCUAAUACCGGAUAAUAUUUUGAACCGCAUGGUUCAAAAGUGAAAGACGGUCUUGCUGUCACUUAUAGAUGGAUCCGCGCUGCAUUAGCUAGUUGGUAAGGUAACGGCUUACCAAGGCAACGAUGCAUAGCCGACCUGAGAGGGUGAUCGGCCACACUGGAACUGCGACACGGUCCAGACUCCUACGGGAGGCAGCAGUAGGGAAUCUUCCGCAAUGGGCGGAAGCCUGACGGAGCAACGCCGCGUGAGUGAUGAAGGUCUUCGGAUCGUAAAACUCUGUUAUUAGGGAAGAACAUAUGUGUAAGUAACUGUGCACAUCUUGACGGUACCUAAUCAGAAAGCCACGGCUAACUACGUG
rnacentral:rRNA from 1 species